rnacentral:rRNA from 1 species
GGCCCAGAUUCCUACGGGAGGCAGCAGUAGGAAUUCUCCACAAUGGACGAAAGUUUGAUGGAGCAACGCCGGCGUGAAUGAAGAAGGUUUUCGGAUCGUAAAACUCUGUUUUUGGAGAAGAAUGUAUCUGAUAGUAACUGAUCAGGUAGUGACGGUAUCCAACCAGAAAGCCACGGCUAACUACGUGCCAGCAGCCGCGGUAAUACGUAGGUGGCAAGCGUUGUCCGGAUUUAUUGGGCGUAAAGCGAGCGCAGGCGGUUUCUUAAGUCUGAUGUGAAAGCCUUCGGCUCAACCGAAGAAGUGCAUCGGAAACUGGGAAACUUGAGUGCAGAAGAGGACAGUGGAACUCCAUGUGUAGCGGUGAAAUGCGUAGAUAUAUGGAAGAACACCAGUGGCGAAGGCGGCUGUCUGGUCUGUAACUGACGCUGAGGCUCGAAAGCAUGGGUAGCAAACAGGAUUAGAUACCCUGGUAGUCCAUGCCGUAAACGAUGAGUGCUAGGUGUUGGAGGGUUUCCGCCCUUCAGUGCCGCAGCUAACGCAUUAAGCACUCCGCCUGGGGAGUACGACCGCAAGGUUGAAACUCAAAGGAAUUGACGGGGGCCCGCACAAGCGGUGGAGCAUGUGGUUUAAUUCGAAGCAACGCGAAGAACCUUACCAGGUCUUGACAUCCUUUGACCACUCUAGAGAUAGAGCUUUCCCUUCGGGGACAAAGUGACAGGUGGUGCAUGGUUGUCGUCAGCUCGUGUCGUGAGAUGUUGGGUUAAGUCCCGCAACGAGCGCAACCCUUAUUACUAGUUGCCAGCAUUUAGUUGGGCACUCUAGUGAGACUGCCGGUGACAAACCGGAGGAAGGUGGGGACGACGUCAAAUCAUCAUGCCCCUUAUGACCUGGGCUACACACGUGCUACAAUGGAUGGUACAACGAGUUGCGAGACCGCGAGGUUUAGCUAAUCUCUUAAAACCAUUCUCAGUUCGGAUUGUAGGCUGCAACUCGCCUACAUGAAGCCGGAAUCGCUAGUAAUCGCGGAUCAGCAUGCCGCGGUGAAUACGUUCCCGGGCCUUGUACACACCGCCCGUCACACCAUGAGAGUUUGUAACACCCAAAGCCGGUGAGGUAACCCUUCGGGGAGCCAGCCGUCUAAG